ensembl:lncRNA
GACUUCCAGUUGCUGCAGCUUCUCUGCCUGCCCCCCUCAUCUAUCCUCUCUAAAGUUCUCAGUCCUACCUCCUCACCUCCAACAACCAGCAUCAAAAAGAAGCACAUCAGACAGCUGCCCAUUCUAAGCAUGUGCUUUGUAUCUCCAGCAUAAACAGAAGGCUUUUAUGAAACCAAACAUGUACCUUCUUUUCACUCUUUUGAAUGAUCAGAGUAGAGAUUUUUCUUCCUAAUCAGUACCGUGGCUCCCAAAGAUUGUUAGAACCAAGCUCAUGAAGAAUGAACGCAAAAGAAUGAUUAUGGUCUUGAGGGGAACAUGAUGAGUCUUCUUUUGAUCUCCUGACGACCCAUCUUCACUGGGUAAAACAAACAAAGAGAACUGUGUUUCCUUAGUUCCCGCAUUUCCAAGUCUUCAAGAUCAUGAGAGCUGUACCUUUGAGACACCCAAGCACGCUGUCCAGUUGCUGACUCAACUCAGAAGGUCAGGACCACAGAGACAAGCAGACAGUGGAAGUCAGAAAGCUGCAUGUUAAUGUGAAAUUAUUCACUUUUUAAACAUGGGCUGAUGCUGAAGGUCUGAUGCUGAAGCUGAAUCUGCAGAGUCAUUGGAAAAGACCUUGAUGCUGGGAAAGAUUGAAGCCAAAAGGAGAAGGGGGCAGCAGAGAAUGAGAUGGUCAGAUGACAUCACUGACUCAGUGGACAUGAAUUUAGGCAAAAUCCAAGGGAUAGUGAAGGUCAGGGAAACCGGGCAUGCUGCAGCCCAUGGGGUUGCAAAGUCAGAUACGACUUAGCAACUGAACAAUAACAAAACAUGGGCACAUAAUUUGCAAAACAAAAUACUUUAGAAGCCAAACAAAACAUGUCUAUUAAAUGCAGUCUGCAACUCUGGCUAAACUAGUGGCCAACUUGAGCAACACCAGGUAAAAAGAUGUACAGGUAUAUCAUAGAGGAGUGCUAAGAACAGCUGCUUAUAAGACAUUUUGGCUACACCGCUACUGUGUUAUUAGAAUCCAUCUAAAAUAUCGACUGUUUAUAUUAAUGGUGAAUAAAUAUAGUCUAUGAUUUUAUCAUCUCUAGUGUUUUACAUUGAUGGUAACUGAUAAUUACUUCCCACCGCUGUUUCCAAAACACCCCGGGGUAGGAGCUGAGCUUUGAUGUGCUCUUUUGAAUACAUGUGUGCUCUACGGGAAACAUCUGAGACAGGACCCUGCUAGGCCAUGUCUCCUUUCAUAUGUGUGUUUCAUGUUCAUGAUUUUUUGUGGUUCAAAAUCAAGUCCUGCGUCUUUUGUCUCAAUCAUUCCGGGUAAGGACAAAAUGAAAAUGAAAAAGUCUUAUGAAAUGAAAAAUGAUGAAAGUCUUAGACAGGAGUUCCCUUGAGAAAGAACCGCCACCGCAAGUAGUUUGCUCUCUUCUCACACUGAUGUUGCA